CACGUUAUGCUGUAUUAUAUACCACUAGAUAAUAAAAUAUAAACCAAAUGGAUCGUAUGAUUGCGCAUAUUCGAUUUUCAUAUUUUAAAGCUACAGGAUGCUUCUUACUGUUAAUUGCUGGAGCUUUUUGCAGACCGGUCUGUUGAGGAAUCCAAUACAAAUAGAGUGAUUUAUCCCUCCGGUGGAAGAAAGAAGGGAAAGGAUUAUCAUUUUCACCUCCCGUGUUUCAGAGGUAUCACAUCAAACUCAAGAUGACGUGACGUUUACAUGGAUCACUGCUUAGUCAUUCGAGAUUCAGCAUGGCUGAAAGAUGUCAAGUGUAGGGCAAACACCUGGGUAUUUCAAGGCGGUAGGAGCUACACGUUGCGUGUAGGACUGGUAAGGGGCGGUGAGGUGGUGAAACUGCAAUGGAUGUGAAAGGAAAUGACCGUGAUGAGUGCUGGACCUGUUACGUAACAGAGAAAGGAAAUAAUCGUUAAUGUAAAACUCGGGCACGUUGUGAUUGCUGAUAUUUGGGAACGACAGUGAAACGUUGCCCCAAGUGUUCACAAAGCAGCAUUUGGCAGCACUGAGAAAAACAUGAGCAUCUCAAUUGUAGUGAGACGGCCCUGCGUGUGUUUUGUGUUCCUUCUUGGCUCCCCACAGAGAUGCUGGUGGCUCUUGUGUCCAUCAGCAGGCCAAGCAACUGGGAGACGUCCCUCCGCUGGUACUCACGGUGCUCGCUUGUGCGGUGUUGGAGACCCAUUUGGACAGUAGGCGCUGUGUUUGCCCUUCGCCCGCUGUCAGUCACAGCCUGAGACAUUAAACUCUGCCCCAGCCCAAAAAAGCCAUCUUUUAGCUUUUAAU
ensembl:lncRNA